rnacentral:tRNA from 1 species
CAAAAAGUAGCUUAUAAAAGCACCUGGCUUACAACCAGGAAAUGCCGUAUUAACUUCGGUCUUUUUGA